ensembl:lncRNA
AAUAAAAGAUUACUCUUCAGUCCAUAGGAAACCUAUAAUUUAAGGUAUCAUGUCAUUCAUUUGCUUUCAGAAGAUGUGAUUAUGAUGGAUUGUGCUUUAAAGCAAUCAUACAGCUUCCAUCAGCUGCAUUUACAUGGCUUAUUAUAUGAAUCUUGUCAACCUUCUGGCCUGCUACAUUGUUGCUGUAAAAAAUCUGUCCUCCUAGAAUUCUGUUGCCUGGGAGACACUUACAGGAUUGGAAACAUGUCAACAAACCUGAAGAGAUGUUGGACUUUACUUGGAAAUGUGAAACCUAUGUUUGGUGUCAGGUACAUAGUUUGGAGAAAAAGCUACAAAUCAAUCAGAUGAAGUCUUCAGAAGAAAAAAAAUGUUUCUGAUAAUCAUAAUCCACUUCAACCUCACCUGUUGCAGGG